rnacentral:rRNA from 1 species
AGCACCGAAGCCUGUGGCCAUUUGGUUACUAGGCAAUGUGGUGUUCAGGUCGUUCCGCAGAGGCACUGCUCCACUCCAAGUCCAGCAAUGAGUACGGUUGUACAGACUUGGCCCAUAGAGGGUGAAAGGCCCGUGGGGGUGGAGAUUCAUUCAGGUCAGUGUCUCUCUGGGUAGACCUUGGAGUCGGGUUGUUUGUGAAUGCAGCCCAAAGCGGGUGGUAAACUCCAUCCAAGGCUAAAUACUAGCACGAGUCCGAUAGCGAACAAGUACCGUGAGGGAAAGUUGAAAAGUACUUUGAAGAGAGAGUAAACAGUGCGUGAAACCGCUCAGAGGUAAACGGGUGGAGUUGAACUGCAAGCCUUGAGAAUUCAGCUGGUGAGUAUGGUUUGAGCUUGGUCAAAUUGGUUGUACUUUGGGGUCUGCUUAAUAUGCAGGUCUCUGCCUUCGGGUGGGGAUGCGCGAUCCGCUUAUCAAGGCGAUGGGCGCUCCAAAUGUAUUCGGACCUGCUUGCCAGUGCAUUUUCUCUUGGUGUUCACCACGACCGGCACUGCUGUCUGGCUGUUGUGGUUAAACCGGUCUUGCAUUGUCCUUGUGGCUUUGUUUGGUCGGGACGGCAGGUAGCUCGCUGACCAGUCUGGGGGUAACCUGGACAAUUGGUCUUUGGGUGUAAUCAGCUGACCAUGAUGGUUCUGUGCGGUGUGUCGGAGACGGCGGCUUGUGGUGUGAGCGCGCGUGCCUUGUCUGCUGGCUUGUUCGGGUUUGGUUGCUAUGUUGCUUGUUCUGCAAGCCUGGCGAUGGCCUGAGCAUGUCUGGUGGGCGGUUGCGUGUGUGACACUAAGUCCAGGGCCAAUAGUCUGUGGUGUAGUGGUAGACUAUCCACCUGACCCGUCUUGAAACACGGACCAAGGAGAGUAACAUGUAUGCGAGUCAUUGGGCGUAACGAAACCCACAGGCGCAGUGAAAGUAAAGGUCUGUCUUGUACGGACUGAGGUGAGAUCUUGUCGUGUCUAACGCGCGGUACCACCAAGCAUUGAACGGCAGGCGCAUCACCGGCCCGUCCCAUGGCUUAGUCACAUAGUCUCGUACCAGUGCACAGCCGGGGCGGAGCAUGAGCAUACAUGUUGAGACCCGAAAGAUGGUGAACUAUGCUUGCGCAGGUUGAAGCCAGAGGAAACUCUGGUGGAGGACCGUAGCGAUUCUGACGUGCAAAUCGAUCGUCAAACGUGAGUAUA